CGUUAUGCCCAGGUGAUGACUUGCAUGUGUCUCACUCAUCAGAGCUAUUUUUCAGGGGUGUUCUGUCCGCCUCACGUUUUCAUGGCCACCGGUUCGCUCUUCCUCCCGUUUGUUCCUCACCAAUCUUCACAUCCAAUGGCGCAUGAUCGUUUCAAAGAAGACGCGUCUCCUCCAUCUCCAUUCUUUCCUUUGGUAGAAGUCGGUGAAGCAAGCAACAAAGAGAGUGAUUUGGAUAAUUCCUUCGAGCGGCAAGCUGUCGCUUGGAAUUCAGAGCACCCAAUAUAUAAACCCAUCUGUCUGAUCGGCAUCUCACAUAUUCCGUCGCCACCACCACCGCCUCUCUUUCCCAGAAGAUCCCCCUUCUCUCUUCGAUCUCUCCGCUCCCUCCACAUCCCCCUCGAUCUUUCUCCUCCCAGAGUCAAGACGGUAGUAUCAGGACCAAGAGUCGCGGUCUUUGGGCCAAACCAAUCGUGAAAGCAGCUGCGGCAGGAGAAUAUCUGAUGGCGGACACGAUGCCGAUGCCGAUGCCGAUGCCGGUGGAUACCACGGUGAGCCCCCCAGGGUUCAACCCCUGAAGCCAUCCAAGACUAUGGCCACUCACCGAUCACGCCACCGCUCUCUGGUUUUCCUGUCAUCGGUCUUGCUACCGGCCACCCCGACUCCCGCCGCCAUCGCCGGGCGGGGAUGAACCCUAUUCGGGAAGGGUACACGCCUAAUGCUGGAACUUUGAAGCUUCGCCAAGCUAUCUGUCGUAAACUGAAAGGAGCACUGGUGAGCUGAGCCGCAAACGUUCAGUUGAUGGCAGUCAGCAUCAGGUGCGAGAUGCGAGUGCAUCUCGUAUGCAGCAUCACUAUCGACAUUACAAAGAGGCGAUGGAGAAGGUAAGGCAGGGCCGUGCUUCUCCUGAGGCAACCAGUUCCAGUCUAAUCACUAAAACAGAGCAAUUAGGGUUCAUGUUUGAGCCCAUCAAAUCAUGAAAAUAAUAACAUUAUAUAGGUACGGGGACAAACACUUUCACUGCACCAACGACAAUAAAAGCAGAGCGGGAAAGUGAGUCGAAUCUCAUCGCCGGGCGGAGACAACAUGAUGAGAGGGGUCAGAGGAGCACGGCCCCUCCCCACGUGUCCGGCCUCGUACGAUCCUGAUUAGAAAUGUACGGCCACUGAUAGCUUUGAUGGGCGAGCAACGGUACACGGUGUACUGUCCUCUUUCCUCCUCCUCCGUUACAGCGUUCCCAGACUUUGAUGUGCCUGUCCUGUUACCUCCGUGACCACACAGAAGCCGUCAUCAUCGAUCGCCGUCUUGUGUAACCCACUGGGGCAGACGUACGAGGAAUUGUAUAUCUAUCAUGACACAGCCGGCGAAGAGAUUUAAGCUCCAAUUCUUGUAAAGGUGACGCAGGAAUUCUUCCCACCGUCAUUGCUGGCUCUAUCUCUGUCUGUGUCGGGGUGCGUGCAUCUCCUGUUGGUGGCUUAGGACACGGACGUCUCACGACUGGAAUCCACAGAUCUCGAGGCCACAACGCGUCGGAGCACGGUACAAAAAGCCAUCCCCUUAAUAAAUGGCCAUUUAGGACUUGGUCAUUUGGGAUUAGCCUUUGCAGCUCGCUCCCCGUGGAGAUGAGGAUGUUUGCCUAGUUUUGGCUGUGACAGCGAAAGCCCUUCAUUUUUAUUAUCGCUCGGUGGCUCUUCCGACGACACACAUCAAAGACAACCGGAGAUAGAGAACCCCCAUGAACGUGAAAAUAGAAAGAAGAGCCAUUGCAGAAGUCUAGAUCAGAGAUUACAUGAAACCGAGGAGGAAGAUGCACCCGGGCAAAAGGUUUGGCAGGUGAAGGAAAGAUUGAUUCAGUCUAUGAUUAUUACUGCUCCCCUGCGGUAAUAUGGAGCAGCAGCAGCAGGAGCAGCAGCAGCAGGAGCAGCAGCCAGACAUCGCAGGUGGGCGUCAGAUAAAGCAUCUAAUGCUGAUGACAGCUCAUCCCAACACAACCAUCUCUUCUUUUCAAGAAAUUUCCUUUCCAAAAGAAAAAACCUUUGCACACUGACCCCUCCAGUCGAUGCAGCAGACUCCUUCCUACCCUCGUAAGAUGAUCCAGCAGUAGCAGUAGAAUACUCAUCUGCCAGUCAACUCCAGGUUGCCCCACCUCCCCCCCUCCUUUGAUGGAUAGAUACAGCAGCACGGACAUCCCCAACUUUAUCCCCCGCUUACAUUAUGAUCACAAUGUGUUUGAUUAUUUUACUCCAUCUCGGCCUGCCCGCCUCUCUCUCUCUCUCGACCGGCCUCUGGUGCACCAACUCGCGGAGAGGAGAUGGUUAGGAGGCCGGUAGCGAUCCGAUGUGUCUCCUUCUUUUCUCUUCUUUUGAUAUGUGGUCUUUCAUGGCGCCGAUCAAAGCCUGGGGAAGCCUUCCUUUUGUUGACUCCCAGGUGGAUCACCAUGUCAAUGGGUUGCUGCACCACACGCGACUGGGUGUCAGGACCCGGCUCGAGCAUCGAGCCACCACCUGACCCACGUGCGCUCGGUGGCCUGCCCUGCGCCCUGCCAAGUUGCAGAGCAAGUUGGAGAGGGGGGCAGGAGAGGCAAGGAAAGCGAGGUGCGGAUUCAAAUACACGGAGGAGUAAUGGUGUAUUAUAUGGCGGCCUCUGGUCACCAGACACAGCAGCAUCGCUGUUCCUGCAUCACCCCCACCUUUGUUGGCUACUCCGUAUGUGAAUUCCUGACGGUGACCCCUCCCGCGUCCCCACCCCAUCCCAUCCCACUCACCGAUGCCAUAAUUUGAAGCAACGCCGCUCCGUCCGCGUCCGUCUCCGUGGCUUCAUUCCACAGAAGCGUAUCAGAUUUGAGCUGGUUUUGGGUUCUUCACCGGCCAAGCUUCCACUGUUGGGAGUGAAAGCCGCGCCAGGGGCUUUCCUAUUGUGAGGGAGACGGGUGAAGCAGGGGAGGUGGAAGGCGAAAGCCAGCAAGUACAGCGACUGCAUGGCUUCAGCUCUGCUUUCGCCUGCGGAAUGGCGCGUGCGUGCGUGCGUGCGUUCAUAGUUACUGCGGUAAAAAGAGACGCAAAGGAGGAGGAGGAGGAGGAGGACGGUGAUCGAUCAAUUAUUGUGAGCCGUAGAACUGCAUGCUCUCCUUUCCAUUUCACCGUCCUGCUCGUACGGUCUCUCUCUCUCUCUCUCUACAUAAGCUUAGUGGAUUCUCUUGAGCUGGUCAGCUUGUGUUUGAGAUUAACACGAGUGCGAAUGACGCCAACUGAGAUCUCAGCAAUGGUCCUGUGCCUGUCUUCCUCGCGAAACAUAAGAGAUGAUGGUUGUGCAGAAGAGGAGUGUAGCACUUUUGGUAUGAGAGUGCGGCGUAGCCAAAUCUAUCACUGACAUUUAAUGGAGGGUUUCCUGAUGCAGGUGGGGAUGGUAAUGAGGUGGGUCCUCGAGCUGCAACUCUUUCCACAUUUCAAGCUCGAACAGUCACAGGUAGACAACUUCAUGUUGGAGCUUGCUAAAACCAUCAUCCCGACUCCAUCAUCUCUUCACAUGCCUGCCUUCUGGCAUCCCUCUUUCCUGCAUUGAUUGACACAGGCAAGGCUUGAUCUCACCCGUACCAUCCAAUCUUGGUACCCCAGCUAACAUCCAUUAAUCAAUCAGUCUCCACACUGAGCGCAAAAGAAGCAGGACGAGAUGAGAUUAGGAGGCGAGUUAGUAGAUGGAGAAGCAGCAUUGCAUUAGUUGCACUUCUGCGAUGCGAUGGGGGUUCUUAGGAGAGCUUAGUGAGUGGGAUGGAGCUAAGUAGGGCUUCUGCAGCUCCACUUCAAUUCUCAUCUCAUCUCAGACCAGAUUUAUUUUUAUGAUUACCACUACAUCCAUAUGAUUCAAAUAAUCAGACGAGAGACCAUAUAUUUGACAUGAUAGCCUAUCAUUUGCAUCGAGAUAUCACCAUUUUAUCACGGACAAACUUCUAAAUAGGAUGUUUGAUGUAAUGAUUAUGUAUGUCCGUGUCUUUUGAUAUGUUCAUACUUUGUACAACAUGUAGAGGGACAACCGAAGGUUUAAUAGUCUCAUUUUACUUAGGUUGGUGGCCGCUUUAGGUUUGUAAAUAAAUGUUAUGUCGUGUGGACACGUGUGAGAGAUUUUUGA